CCGGCAGUGUUCCAGGUAACAGGUACUCCACUGACCAGAGACUGGGGCUGAGGACGACAAUUCUUCACAGCAGAACUCUGCCGACAGACACGUGGCAUGAGUAGGACAUAAAUCCUUUGCUGGACCCAGCACCCUUUGCAGGACAUUCAAGUUCCUUCGGGAAACCAGAGUAAGAAAGGAUUCUACUUUGCAGAAAGGACCAUUUCACCAAACAUUCGAUCCGAAACUAUCAACUUUUAAUGUGAGUAAGAUGGCAAUUUCUGCUAUCUUGUUCAACCUAAAUUCAAUUUUAUUAACCAGGUCCUAAUCCCGAAA